GAGUUUGAUCUUGGCUCAGGAUGAACGCUGGCGGCGCGCCUAAUACAUGCAAGUCGAGCGAACGGACGAGAAGCUUGCUUCUCUGAUGUUAGCGGCGGACGGGUGAGUAACACGUGGAUAACCUACCUAUAAGACUGGGAUAACUUCGGGAAACCGGAGCUAAUACCGGAUAAUAUUUUGAACCGCAUGGUUCAAAAGUGAAAGACGGUCUUGCUGUCACUUAUAGAUGGAUCCGCGCUGCAUUAGCUAGUUGGUAAGGUAACGGCUUACCAAGGCAACGAUGCAUAGCCGACCUGAGAGGGUGAUCGGCCACACUGGAACUGAGACACGGUCCAGACUCCUACGGGAGGCAGCAGUAGGGAAUCUUCCGCAAUGGGCGAAAGCCUGACGGAGCAACGCCGCGUGAGUGAUGAAGGUCUUCGGAUCGUAAAACUCUGUUAUUAGGAAGAACAUAUGUGUAAGUAACUGUGCACAUCUUGACGGUACUAAUCAGAAGCACGGCUAACUACGUCG
rnacentral:rRNA from 1 species